ACCCGCUGAACUUAAGCAUAUCAAUAAGCGGAGGAAAAGAAACCAACAGGGAUUGCCUUAGUAACGGCGAGUGAAGCGGCAACAGCUCAAAUUUGAAAUCUGGCCUCUUUGGGGUCCGAGUUGUAAUUUGCAGAGGGCGCUUUGGCGUUGGCAGCGGUCCAAGUUCCUUGGAACAGGACGUCACAGAGGGUGAGAAUCCCGUACGUGGUCGCUAGCCUUCGCCGUGUAAAGCCCCUUCGACGAGUCGAGUUGUUUGGGAAUGCAGCUCUAAAUGGGAGGUAAAUUUCUUCUAAAGCUAAAUACUGGCCAGAGACCGAUAGCGCACAAGUAGAGUGAUCGAAAGAUGAAAAGCACUUUGGAAAGAGAGUUAAAAAGCACGUGAAAUUGUUGAAAGGGAAGCGCUUGCAGCCAGACUUGCCUGUAGUUGCUCAUCCGGGCUUUUGCCCGGUGCACUCUUCUGCGGGCAGGCCAGCAUCAGUUUGGGCGGUUGGAUAAAGGUCUCUGUCAUGUACCUCUCUUCGGGGAGGCCUUAUAGGGGAGACGACAUGCAACCAGCCCAGACUGAGGUCCGCGCAUUUGCUAGGAUGCUGGCGUAAUGGCUGU
rnacentral:rRNA from 1 species